UACGUAGGGUCCGAGCGUUGUCCGGAGUUACUGGGCGUAAAGCGCGCGCAGGCGGCGGUGCUGGCCCGGCGUGAAAGCCCCCGGCUCAACCGGGGAGGGUCGUCGGGGACCGCACCGCUUGAGGGCGGUAGGGGCUGGUGGAAUGCCUGGUGUAGUGGUGAAAUGCGCAGAUAUCAGGAAGAACACCCGUGGCGAAGGCGGCUCUCUGGGACGGUACUGACGCUGAGACGCGAAAGCGUGGGGAGCGAACAGG
rnacentral:rRNA from 1 species